AUGCUAGUAUUUGGUAUUGUGUCUUUAAACAUUUCCUGUGAGACACUUGGUGAGUCAUUUCAAACAUGGUUUUCAUUUCUUGGAAAUUUUCUUGAAAUGUGUGUAUACACAUACACACACUUAAGUGUUUUCCUUCCAUCUUCACAGUUCUUUCUGGAUUUCCUGUUAGUCAGAUGUUGGGUCUCCGGGGCCUGCUUCUCGAGGGUGAUCUUCAGUGUAAUCUGGGCACCACGCAGCUAUUCCUUGGCCACCAAGGAGGCCAGUUCAUGCACAAGGCAUCAGGAGGCAAGACUGCAGCUCAGGUCAGUUCCUCUCUGCUUCAUUUCAGGACUUGAAGGUGAAGAGCCCACCUUGUUAGCAUGUGACUGUGUGUUGAGAGCCUGCCAGGAACACCGGAGAAGAGUCGUGGAAAAAGUACACAUAGCAGCUUCUCAGGAGUUUCCUUGGCUGUCCCCAUGGAGUAGUGAGCCUAGGCCCUGGCAAACUGGAGACCUGAGUCCUCAGCAUGAGUCCCCAAUGCCAAAUCUUCUGGACACGUUCAGUGGACACAUAGACUUUUCAGAGUGACUCGAGGUUUGGACCCCCCUGGAGAUCAUCCUAAGGAAAGAUCAAAGACCACUGUUCAGAAGCACAGCUCCAGCCCUAGAGAGGACAGACUCAUGUGUGCCUCAGUGCCCCAGCCAGCUCCCCACGACCCGCGCCCCCCCAGCCUCUGUCGCGGCCCGGGGACUCCAGGAGUCCCCCAGAACGCCGCCGCCCUGCCUGCCCCGGGACCCCCGCCCGUGUCCCCUCUGCCCACUGCGGGGAGCACAGGGACCGGCUCCGGGAGCAGGGGCCCGGAGGGAUCGGGCUUUGCCCGGGAGAUGAGACGGCUCGGCUCCGGGCUCGCUUCGAACUUGCCCAAAUUAAACAACAACGAACCGCGGCCACUCAGCGGCUGACCCAUCUCCUCCCCCUCAGUCCCGUUUUCCGGGGACGGUGGCGAGAAGCGGCAUUUCCUGGUGACACAGUGCGGGCCUCGCGGUUGCGGCGAUUGGGGGAGCCGAGCGGCUCUCGCCUUAGCUCGGGAGAGUGAGAGCGGAGCCUAACAGACUGCUCUUUGGCUGCACAGCCCAAGGGCCUUGCCUCCGGCCUCUCGGCGCGACCACGAGAGGGAGAUGUCGCCGGGAGGGGGCGCCUGCUGCGCGGCUGGGACUCCGCGUGGUGAAGUGUCAGCGUGCCCACACUGGGAGCGGGCCAAGCAAAGAAACAGCGGGUCAGGAGAACCCAUGAAGAGUGUCUCUUUGCUAUGGUGAGCUUCCCUUCGGAACCAGGACUAAGCAAACAUCUCUAUAGCCUCGUGGAGAAGAGCCCAGACUCGGCUCAUUGCUUAGCAACAUAAAGUGCUACUAAAAAUGCAGAAUAAAAGGCAGGUGGUACAAAAGUACA
rnacentral:lncRNA from 1 species